rnacentral:tRNA from 1 species
GGGGCCUUAGCUCAGCUGGGAGAGCGCCUGCUUUGCACGCAGGAGGUCACAGGUUCGAAUCCUGUCUUCCCGA